rnacentral:rRNA from 1 species
ACUCCCUACGGGACGCAGCAGUGAGGAAUAUUGGUCAAUGGCCGCAGGGCUGAACCAGCCAAGUCGCGUGAGGGAUGACGGUCCUAUGGAUUGUAAACCUCUUUUGUCAGGGAGCAAAGGGCGCCACGUGUGGCGCUUUGCGAGUACCUGAAGAAAAAGCAUCGGCUAACUCCGUGCCAGCAGCCGCGGUAAUACGGAGGAUGCGAGCGUUAUCCGGAUUUAUUGGGUUUAAAGGGAGCGUAGGUGGAUUGUUAAGUCAGUUGUGAAAGUUUGCGGCUCAACCGCAAAAUUGCAGUUGAAACUGG